rnacentral:rRNA from 1 species
CCUACGGGCGGCAGCAGUGAGGAAUAUUGGUCAAUGGGCGAGAGCCUGAACCAGCCAAGUCGCGUGAAGGAUGACGGCCCUACGGGUUGUAAACUUCUUUUGUCAGGGAGCAAGUGGGUCCACGCGUGGGCUGAGCGAGAGUACCUGAAGAAAAAGCAACGGCUAACUCCGUGCCAGCAGCCGCGGUAAUACGGAGGAUGCGAGCGUUAUCCGGAUUGAUUGGGUUUAACGGGUGCGUAGGCGGAAUCUCAAGUCAGCGGUAAAAAUUCGGGGCUCAACCCCGUCGUGCCGUUGAAACUGCUGUUCUUGCGUGGGCGAGACGUAUGCGGCAUGCGUGGUGUAGCGGUGAACUUCCUAGAUAUCACGC